rnacentral:rRNA from 1 species
UGGGGAAUUUUGCACAAUGGGGGAAACCCUGAUGCAGCGACGCCGCGUGAUUUAGAAGGCCUUCGGGUUGUAAAAAUCUUUUCUAUGGGAAGAAAAUGACAGUACCAUAGGAAUAAGGACCGGCUAAUUACGUGCCAGCAGCCGCGGUAAUACGUAAGGUCCGAGCGUUGUCCGGAAUCAUUGGGCGUAAAGGGUACGUAGGCGGGUAAGCAAGUUAGAAGCGAAAUCCUAUAGCUCAACUAUAGUAAGCUUUUAAAACUGCUCAUCUUGAGGUAUGGAAAGGAAAGGUGAAUUCCUAGUGUAGCGGUGAAAUGCGCAGAUAUGAGGAGGAAUACCGGUGGCGAAGGCGACUUUCUGGCCAUAGCCUGACGCUGAGGUACGAAAGCGUGGGUAGCAAACAGG